AGAUUGUUAAGUACACUCCUGUUAUUCUGGAUCCAAACACUGCAUGCCCAGAUCUCAUUUUGUCUGAGGACCUGACCAGUAUGAGAAAAAAAUAUGUUAAUGGAAAGGCAGAAGAUCAUGGUGAUAACAAUGAAGAAGACAAUGAUGACAAACAUGACGAAUACCAUGGUGACGGCAAUGAAGAAAACUGUGACACUGAAGACCAUGGCAAUGACAAUAAAGAAGAUGUUGAGGAUGACAAUGAAGAAGACAAUAAUGAUGAGUCAGAACUUCCUGAUAACCCAGAGAGAUUCGAUGAGUAUCCCAGUGUCUUGGGCUCUGAGGGUUUCAACUCAGGGACUCACUGCUGGGAUGUGGAGGUUGGAGAAAACACAAGGUGGUGGGUGUGAUGACCGAGACUCUCCAGAGGAAGGGAUAUUUUGACAAUAUGAGUGGAGAGUUGUACAUGAUUUAUUUUGAUGAUACAUACACAGCAUGUGCUGCACCACAGCCUGACACUCCCCUCACAGUGAAGCAGAAACCCCAGAGGAUCAGAGUGCAGCUGGACUGGGACAGAGGAGAGCUGUCAUUCUCUGACCCUGAUAAUAACACACACCUACACACUCACACACACUUUCACUGACAGAGUGUUUCCAUACUUUUAUAUUGACUGUGAACUCUCUUCUCUGAGGAUCUUACCAGUGAAGGCCUCUGUUAGGCUAGAACAGGGUAGAUAAAGCGUCUGUCACAAGGUGGAGAUGUUGACGCUGUAAUAAAGACAUAACAUACAGAGUUUGUUGACUUUACUGAUGUGCAUUCUAGGACCUUUGUGUCUGUAUUGCAAACAAAAAAAGACACAAUUUCCCAGGGAAUUGAAUGUAAAAUCAUCUAGAUGUGUCCUAGAUGUGGUUUGUCUGUGUAAGCUUCAAAUUACUUUCUGUUCAGGGGUUCAUGUUUUAGAAAUUUUAACUGCCAAAUGCUACCUGGUGACCAUUGUUGAAAGCAAAUGAGAGCUCAUACAAAUUGCAACACUUUGUAAAUAAAAUGUAUUUCUUUAUUUUUGAAUUUGAGUAUUAAAUUAUAUCUAACACCUA